GAAACCUAGGUCAGUAAAAUGCUCUCAAAAACAAUGUCUCAGUGUCUCUCCCACCAGUCUUCCCACAUUUGAUUAGGAAAUUUAACUCUUUCUUAGUGUCCAAACAUUGACAAGCUGCAGGCUGCACAAUCUGAGCUAUCUGAUCCAGGUGUCCCUUGGGAGCCCCUUGCGGUCCUUCUCUCUGUGAUGGGUGGAAGGGACAUGGACACACACACCUACUGACUUGGAUUGGGGUGCUUUUGAGGUUUGUGCCUUUCCUGUGCAAUGGUAACACCGUUUUCUGUGACUCAUUUGUAGCAUAUUGGCACCAGCUCCUCAAUCUUCCUGGCUGAUAUUUAUGAGUUUAAAUAUGGCUAAUGAUACAACAUGCCUGCCAGAUGGUCAAGGGGAACUACCUGGAUUCAGAUAUUUGAGCAUCAGGCAAAUGCUUGAUUCCUUGGACUGAGACUCAAACAUAAAGCCAUUUUUGGAAAAUAAUAUAAUCCUGAGGAUUCUCAAACACUGUAAGUAAACAGAAGCAACCCAUGCAGAUCAAUGAAACAGGAGCAGGCUAAGGGUGGACCAGGCAUCCUUCUCACAUGGCAGGUGGGAAAAUUGAAGCACAGGUGGACUAAGGGGAUGAGCAUUAGUCCCCAGAACACAGGAGCGGUGAUAACAGGUGGGCUGGAUCUGAGCUUCUGGCAGAACAAAUCCAUAUGUGCCAUUGUCCCUCAGCUCAAACGUGUAUGAGAAAGGGAUCCCAAUGUCUCGAGCCCAGUCUCUUGAAGACCCUGAUGAGGAAUCUACAAAGGAAAACAUGCAGGAAGAGAUCCUUUUACCAGGCUGCUGUAGCAACUAAAAUAAAUGAGUCUGCAGGCUGCUCGCCUCUGGCCUGCUUUCACCGGGCUCCUGGAGUCUGUGUGGUGACCCCGUGCCUCUUGCUCCCACCAUACUCCUCCUCUCAGAAGAAAUCAACCUCAACAUCUGGCGCACCAAUGUGACUGAGAGAGAGACAGCGUGUUGGACUUGGUGAGGUCCCCCCUUGAUUUCUGCAAGUAGGCCCCUCGAUGUUUUGUGUGCUGUUCAGUUCUGUGGGGGUGAGCACGGAACCCCCUUCUACGCCACUUUAUUUGUCCUUGUCCUCAGUCUAAGUGACCCCAGGUUAGGCACACACCACCCAGAAGCACAUGCCACUUCUUGGCUCUUUUUACUUUCAGUUCUCCUGGUGAAUUCACAUAAGGGACUGAUCAUUCCAGAAUUUGGAACCAAGUCAUCUUCCCUCACUCGAGAGAGGUGAUGCUCCAGAGACACCGUGUGGGCAUACGGCCUUGACCUAACAAACCAAGGAAGUCUCCCACUAAGCAUAGGAUACACCAUGUCUGUUUGUCUAAAGUCAGGAAACCCCUGCAAAAUUCCAACAGCGGCUGAAGUGCUAUGAAUUGAUUUUGUUAUGGCAGCAGUGCUGUGGGAGUCUUUCCUUUGGCUAGAGUUGGCAUGGUGUGCUACUCUUAAACACUCAAACAUGGGAAAGAUACCCCUCUCUCAGAAUCCCGCACAGAUUACCAAACAUAAUGAAUCUGUGAGUGAUAAGAGCCUGACACUCCAGGUCCCUGUCUCACAGACAACAGUCGAUGACUGUGGGAGAGCUCUGACAGUGAAAAUGACGUGACAGCAGACAAUGCAGCAAUGCCUAGUCAGCCACCCCUCAACUACCCAUGGGAUGAACUUAGACAACCUUGAGGUGAUAACCCAUACGAGGUCAUCCCAUCCACACCCAGUGAGGAUCCUCACAUUUGUGGCAGUCCUCAGGCACCCCAGGCACUCAGGGUAGCCGCUAGAACCCAUCCCACUCACAUAUUUGCCAUUAAUGUAGGAGUGGAUGCAGAAUUCAGGCCCUGGAUUCCAACACCUGUAAAAAGGUUUCUGCUAACCAAGGGUCGAGGAUAUGUUUGUGUCUUUGCAGAGAAUGCGGGACAGCCCAUUUGGGUACCAGCCAGAAACAUCAAGCCUGCAACUGACAGCCAACUAGAAUCAGAUGAACAAGACUGAGAGUCCACCUUGUUAACAGAUGCACCUGCCCUAUCAUCCUACCCUGAGAAACUGCCCAUGUCCACAUCCGCUACUGUUUUAUACCCCACUAGCUCUGGUCAGCCACUCAAAUGGCCCACAGCCUGUGUGUGGUUAUGUCAUUCCUGAUUACCAUUGUUCCUCAUUCCUACCCCUAUCUGAGCAAGCACUCCUGAGGUCUCCUGUUUUGAUCACUGGUUAGUCAACGACGGGUAAGAUCCCCUGGGGGACAACCUAAGACAGGCACAGCCACAUACGGAUACCACAUGGAAACGGGGUCAACAAUGGUAUGGCCAAGAAUCAUUUCUCCUGUCGCUCAAAAAUAAACGAAAAUGGAGAAAUGUGGUGGAAUGAGAAGGCUGUGCCAAGAUGGCCACUGGCAACAGAAACUGACUGACAACAGGUCGUGAUUGGAUGGCUUCAGAAACCACAUGACAAUGGAGCCUGCCUGGCAACAGGCUGUGAUUGGAUGGCUUUGGAACCUGCCUGGCAACAGGGUAUGAUUGGUUAGGGCAUAGACCGCCCCUUAACCAGAUUGGCUGCCUUGGCUAUAUAAGCUGCUGUAGCAACUGAAAUAAAGGAGUCUGCAGGAUGCUCGUCUCUGGCCUGCUUUCUCUCGGCUCCCGGAGUCUGUGUGGUGACUCCGUGCCUCUUGCCCCCACCACACUCCUCCUCUCAGAAUGAAUCAACAGCAACACCAGGCCACAUCUUGCUUUGCUUUCUGGCUGAUGGGGCUUCUGGGAAACAAAUUAACUGACCAAGUAUCAUUGAACAGUGUCCUUUGUGUUAACCUCUGGGUCUUCUAACUUCCCAUCUCUUUCCAACUCAAGUCAAGGGAAGUUUUGGUAUGAGAAAAUGUAUUAUUUUUCUUCCAUUUUAGCUCAUGCCAUAUCGCUACAGACUAUAAUUAUGAAUUUGGACAGACUCCCUUGUAUCAUUGGUCAUUUUGAUUUGUACUCCCUGUUGAUCCCAGGAAUUCUUCUCUUCUCACC